rnacentral:rRNA from 1 species
CCCUUAGAUGUUCUGGGCCGCACGCGCACUACACUGAUGCAUUCAACGGGCCUAUCCUUGACCGACAGGUCCGGGUAAUCUUUGAAUCUGCAUCGUGACGGGGAUAGAUUAUUGCAAUUAUUAAUCUUCAACGAGGAAUGCCUAGUAGGCGCAAGUCAUCAGCUUGCGUCGAUUACGUCCCUGCCCUUUGUACACACCGCCCGUCGCUCCUACCGAUUGGGUGUGCUGGUGAAAUGUUCGGAUCGGCCGUUUGUCGCGGUUUCCGCGUCAUGUGGCUGAGAAGUUCAUUAAACCCUCCCACCUAGAGGAAGGAGAAGUCGUAACA